rnacentral:tRNA from 1 species
GUGGGUAUAGCUCAGUGGCGGAGCACAUGCUUAGCAUGCACAAGGUCCCGGGUUCAAUCCCCAGUCCCUCCA